rnacentral:misc_RNA from 1 species
CCGCAACGAUAGUCUUCCCGGGCAAGUGUAUUGGCUCUGUAGAUUGACCACCACUCCAGAUUCCACGGCCCUCGGUAGCCAAUCUCGUUCAAAAUGGCUUGGACGGAGGCGCGGACACUCGAUUCGGAGGUCGCUUCUUCAUCGGAUUCAUCUUUCUCUAAUUGAUAAUCGAUGCGCCAAAUGUCGUCCGGUUGACGAUGAAUAAGCACUGUUCCGCCGGGACGUGAUCGCGGGUCGAACAAGGCUCGGCGAACCGUGGGGAAGUCAUGCGGCAUCUGAACAUCCGCAAUCACGUACCGGCCCUCGUAGUUUUCUCCUUUUAGUCGUAGCCCAAGCAUUCCGCGCACCGUCGAGCGCGCGCCGUCGGCAGCGAGAACCCAGGCAGAAUUUAGGGCAUAGCCGCGCCGGCUGUCUCGCAUCUCAAGGCUUACACUCUCCGUCCCCUGAUGAAUUGCCACGACCUCCGUGUCCCACCGC